UGAGCCUCCACCUCCGCUCGCCGGUGACGAGCCUCCGUUCCUGCUCGCCGGCCGCCAAUGACGAGUUUCCGCCCGCGGAUCCAGGCUCCAGGGAACUCCCAUGAGUUAAUCCCCAUCCCCGUGCUCGAUCUCCUCUUCUUCUUAAGUUUGUGGCCUUCACCUCCGCCUGCUCUUCUUAGCCACCAGCUCCGCCAUGGUCAGUGAGGUUGCCUAUGCAAGAAUUGAUUGUAUAAACUGGGUUGGCCUUUCAACUGUCAGAACAUUCAGGGUUCAUCUCAGCCAAGGAAUUGACCAUUUCUUAUUCUACUUGCUCUUCGACCCACAACUCUAAGGUCCAGUGUCUCAAUGAAUCCUAUUUCUUAUUCUACUUGCUGAUCUACUUGUGCAUAUGCCGUAUAUAUUUCCUGUGAAGACACACAUGGGCAAAGAAGGAAGGCCUAGAAAUGAAGGAGCUCUGCAGGAUACCCCGAAACAAGCAAGAUGGAUCUGUUCUGGUUAUGGUGUUCUUCCAUAAGUUUUAGGGUAAAUUGAAAUAGGAUUUUUCUGCAGGAAACAAUGGUGUUCUUGUUUGCCUGACCAGCAGUUCACAAUACUCCACGUGAUGCCCAAUCUCGAGUUUAAAAAUAAGACAUUUGCAGCCCUUGGCAAGGACCGAGCCAUCACUUCACAACCAAAUAUUUGAGGAGCAACAACUUGCGGUUGGUGACGCCCCGUUGUGAGCUUCCCAACAUCCGCCAUGGCAUAGUGGCCCCUUUCCUCCACGCGAGUGACGGAGUAGGACCGAUUGAAGCGGAUUGGCAGGCGGUGGCAUUGGCCAUGAUGUGCAGACUUCCUAUCUGCUUGCCUCCAUGCACGUGUAGGACAAGUAGGCUAUAAAAACAUACUUUGGAAGAAGCUAGGAGGUGCCAGUAGCCGGUGCUAUGGCUUGAUUGUGAUAGAGAGGGUGAAAACAUAGCAUAUGAAGUGAUCCGAGUUUGUACAGGUUUGUUGAUGUGUUUUAGAGGAUUGAUUAAGUUACCUUAAUGAUUUAAGUAUUAGGCUAAUUUUAUCACUCUCUGAACUUUCAUAGGAAGCACAGAAUAAAACGUAGAAAUGUCAAUGAUCAAGGCCAUGUCAAUGGUUCAGUGUAUUGGUUGCUUC